GACGAACGCUGGCGGCGUGCUUAACACAUGCAAGUCGAGCGGUAAGGCCCCUUCGGGGGUACACGAGCGGCGAACGGGUGAGUAACACGUGGGUGACCUGCCCUCAGCUCUGGGAUAAGCCUGGGAAACCGGUCUAAUACCGGAUAUGACUCCAUGACGCAUGUUGUGGGGUGGAAAGCCUUGUGCGGCUGAGGAUGGGCCCGCGGCCUAUCAGCUUGGUUGGUGGGGUGAUGGCCUACCAAGGCGACGACGGGUAGCCGGCCUGAGAGGGCGACCGGCCACACUGGGACUGAGACACGGCCCAGACUCCUACGGGAGGCAGCAGUGGGGAAUCUUGCGCAAUGGGCGAAAGCCUGACGCAGCGACGCCGCGUGAGGGAUGACGGCCU
rnacentral:rRNA from 1 species